UAACAAGGUCUCCGUUGGUGAACCAGCGGAGGGAUCAUUGCUGGAACGCGCCCCAGGCGCACCCAGAAACCCUUUGUGAACUUAUACCUUACUGUUGCCUCGGCGCACGCCGGCCCCCAGGGGCCCCUCGGAGACGAGGAGCAGGCACGCCGGCGGCCAAGUUAACUCUUGUUUUUACACUGAAACUCUGAGAAAAAAAAACAAAAUGAAUCAAAACUUUCAACAACGGAUCUCUUGGUUCUGGCAUCGAUGAAGAACGCAGCGAAAUGCGAUAAGUAAUGUGAAUUGCAGAAUUCAGUGAAUCAUCGAAUCUUUGAACGCACAUUGCGCCCUCCGGUAUUCCGGAGGGCAUGCCUGUUCGAGCGUCAUUUCAACCCUCAAGCACUGCUUGGUGUUGGGGCACUGCCUUUUUCCGGAAGGCAGGCCCUGAAAUUCAGUGGCGAGCUCGCCAGGACCCCGAGCGCAGUAGUUAAACCCUCGCUUUGGAAGGCCCUGGCGGUGCCCUGCCGUUAAACCCCCAACUCUUGAAAAUUUGACCUCGGAUCAGGUAGGAAUACCCGCUGAACUUAAGCAUAUCAAUAAGCCGGAGG
rnacentral:rRNA from 1 species